rnacentral:misc_RNA from 1 species
GCAUAAAAGUAAUUGUUCAGUUAAAAUCGAUGCGAGCGUUUCAAGUAUUUUAAACAGAUACGAUUAUAUUAUUCUUUGACUGUAUAACCACCAUCAACAAUCAAUGCGUAUGCAGGCAUAUUACAAGCUAAUUAAUGACAAUAUAAGUAAAUAACAUGACCAAUGAAGAAAAUAUUCAGAACAUGCGUGUAAGAGCAUUCCUGAACAUUACUUUAACUAUUUUGCAUUUAUAUGGUAACAUAAUAUAAUUUUAAUUGCCCGUACCUUGCUCAUGAGCAAGGUUUUGGCAGGUAAAAGUGAAGGGAUUUCUCUUUGUAUUGGGUAUAGUAAUACAGUUUAUAAAAUUGUAGAUGCAGUCACAUAAAAUAAAAUAGGUCAAGUUUGUCGGAUCCUUGAACAAGGUACUGGUUUCGGUUGAAAUUAAUAGUAAAAAUAUGACAAUUUUUUUUAUAAAACUGUAUUUUUUCAUGGAUGGUAUAAUAUCUUUAAAUAUCGAUCUAGCAGUGAUAUAAUGUCUUAUAGAAAUGUAUAAAUGCCAAGGCACAUAGCUGCUACCUGAUUCUCUUCAAGCCUCGCCACCGGUUGAUAUAUAAAGCAAGUUGUACAUUUUAUAAAUAAAAGAAGGAAUGAGACAUAGAUUUGCAACUAAUUAUGGGCAUGUUCUAGACAGUAAAUUUAAGAAGUACAUUAAAUGCAAGGAGCCUGGUGGAUAUAUAUCUUAUUUCUAUCAAGGCGAUUAUUUAACGUUGUGACUCGACACCAAUAAUGUAUACAAGGUAAACGAUAUAUUUUUUUCGCACAGUAUAGCGCCAAUUGUUAUUUUGUGUGAAGUUGCUGUGGUGAAUUUAGUGAACCGUGAAACGCGCUGGUUAGUUUGAAAGAGAAUUUGCGUCCGAUCCAAUUCAACCAAUUAAAUUCCGAAUGCAAAUUGACCUGCGUCAAGGUAGACCAUUUGUAAUUAAAAAGUAUGUAAAAAGUUCAAUUUUUGGUGGUGACUGUCUAGUGAAAUGCUUUUCCAAACUAAUACUCUUCAGUUGAGUUAAGGUGCGCUGAACACAUUUUACUUUGGAAUAAUCGAAUUCAUUGUGCGAAAGUUCACUCAAGUGCUUAUUGAAAUUACCAAAAUUGUCAGCGGAAAUGAUUCUGAUUAUUAUUCUUACUUUGCCUACACUUGUUAGUUUCCUACACUAAAGGUGGGAGUGUCUUUGAUUGCAAUCAGUUAUAAUAUUACUUACCGUGGUCCAUGAAUAUAUAUUUUUAGUAUGUAAUGUAAUAUCCCAAUUACUGGUAACUUAAUACCAAGCUCAGAACCAUGAUUAGACUGAUAAUCCUAGCAGUAUUAUUCUCACGCCCAACCUGUUUAUGAACCUGUGCUCAGAACGACUUCAAUAGGAUAUGCAUUUCCAUCUUGGCUCUACCCGAACCCAUUUGUACCAUCUUAUAGUAGCAGCUACAUCAAUCCCGAAUAUUCUGGGUAUAGAAAACUUGAUGCUCCACUAAUCGAAGAUAAAAAUGUCGCAUCUCAAAAUGGCCCCUAUCCAGUGCCCUUGUCUGCAGAUUCGGAGCUCAAAAAGUCAAACGAUGGGGAAAACCAGGGACAAAAUGCUGAUCACCCACUAAACUAUAGUGAAUACCUUCAAAAUGGAGGGGUGAAAGGUUCUGCCGUUCCGGACAGCUAUUCUGCAUUGGGACAGACGGAAAAUGAUCCAAAGAAAGUCAUCGCUAAUCUUAAAAGAAACCCUGAAAUUCCGGAUGUUCCUCCUCCACCUUUACCGGUCAGGGUUCCUCCAGCGAAGCAAUAAACGUCCCCAAAGGCAACAUUAUCAAAUUGAGGAUUAGUAGAGAUUUGGUAAUGCACAUCUAUGUUCAGUUUAUUUCUUAUAAGCACGCAGAGUUUUUAAUUAAAAACGAAAUUAUAUUCCCAAUGAAUUUAGGCGUUGUUUUAUUGAUUCACAUAAGAAUUGUUCACGUGUUCAAUUUAGCGGUUCUUUCAUCACCAAUUAAGCGCUUAUAUCGCAAAUUAUAUUGAUGAACUUCAGAGUUCAGUUAUUCUAUAUUUAAAAGUUACUAUUAUUCUAUAUUUAAAAGUAAAUUGGUACCUUUGGGGAUAUAGAAUAGCAUAGUUGGGAAAAGGUAAUGAAUCUACUUUGGAGGAAAAACGCUGUUUAGUUAAUGAAAGCAAUAAAACAAUAUGUCAUCUA